CCUACGGGAGGCAGCAGUGGGGAAUAUUGCACAAUGGGCGCAAGCCUGAUGCAGCCAUGCCGCGUGUGUGAAGAAGGCCUUAGGGUUGUAAAGCACUUUCAGUAAGGAGGAAAGGUUAGUAGUUAAUACCUGCUAGCUGUGACGUUACUUACAGAAGAAGCACCGGCUAACUCCGUGCCAGCAGCCGCGGUAAUA
rnacentral:rRNA from 1 species